CCUACGUGAUGCAGCAGUGAGGAAUAUUGGUCAAUGGACGAGAGUCUGAACCAGCCAAGUAGCGUGAAGGAUGACUGCCCUAUGGGUUGUAAACUUCUUUUAUAUGGGAAUAAAAUGUUCCACGUGUGGGAUUUUGUAUGUACCAUAUGAAUAAGGAUCGGCUAACUCCGUGCCAGCAGCCGCGGUAAUACGGAGGAGCCGAGCGUUAUCCGGAUGUAUUGGGUUUAAAGGGAGCGUAGGUGGAUUGUUAAGUCAGUUGUGAAAGUUUGCGGCUCAACCGUAAAAUUGCAGUUGAAACUGGCAGUCUUGAGUACAGUAGAGGUGGGCGGAAUUCGUGGUGUAGCGGUGAAAUGCUUAGAUAUCACGAAGAACUCCGAUUGCGAAGGCAGCUCACUGGACUGCAACUGACACUGAGGCUCGAAAGUGUGGGUAUCAAACAGGAUUAGAUACCCUUGUAGUC
rnacentral:rRNA from 1 species